rnacentral:rRNA from 1 species
CAGCCGCCGCGGUAAUACGUAGGUCCCGAGCGUUGUCCGGAUUUAUUGGGCGUAAAGCGAGCGCAGGCGGUUAGAUAAGUCUGAAGUUAAAGGCUGUGGCUUAACCAUAGUACGCUUUGGAAACUGUUUAACUUGAGUGCAAGAGGGGAGAGUGGAAUUCCAUGUGUAGCGGUGAAAUGCGUAGAUAUAUGGAGGAACACCGGUGGCGAAAGCGGCUCUCUGGCUUGUAACUGACGCUGAGGCUCGAAAGCGUGGGGAGCAAACAGGAUUAGAUACCCGAGUAGUCCCUGUCUCUUAUACA